rnacentral:rRNA from 1 species
GACGAACGCUGGCGGCGUGCCUAAUACAUGCAAGUAGAACGCUGAAGGAGGAGCUUGCUUCUCUGGAUGAGUUGCGAACGGGUGAGUAACGCGUAGGUAACCUGCCUGGUAGCGGGGGAUAACUAUUGGAAACGUUAGCUAAUACCGCAUAAUAGUAGAUGUCGCAUGACAUUUGCUUAAAAGGUGCAAUUGCAUCACUACCAGAUGGACCUGCGUUGUAUUAGCUAGUUGGUGAGGUAACGGCUCACCAAGGCAACGAUACAUAGCCGACCUGAGAGGGUGAUCGGCCACACUGGGACUGAGACACGGCCCAGACUCCUACGGGAGGCAGCAGUAGGGAAUCUUCGGCAAUGGACGGAAGUCUGACCGAGCAACGCCGCGUGAGUGAAGAAGGUUUUCGGAUCGUAAAGCUCUGUUGUAAGAGAAGAACGAGUGUGAGAGUGGAAAGUUCACACUGUGACGGUAUCUUACCAGAAAGGGACGGCUAACUACGUG